GUGAGCACCACUUGAGGGUUUGG
rnacentral:miRNA from 1 species